GAUGAACGCUGGCGGCGUGCCUAAUACAUGCAAGUAGAACGCUGAAGCUUGGUGCUUGCACCGAGCGGAUGAGUUGCGAACGGGUGAGUAACGCGUAGGUAACCUGCCUCUUAGCGGGGGAUAACUAUUGGAAACGAUAGCUAGUACCGCAUAAAAGUCGAUAUCGCAUGAUAUUGAUUUGAAAGGUGCAAAUGCAUCACUAAGAGAUGGACCUGCGUUGUAUUAGCUAGUUGGUGAGGUAACGGCUCACCAAGGCGACGAUACAUAGCCGACCUGAGAGGGUGAUCGGCCACACUGGGACUGAGACACGGCCCAGACUCCUACGGGAGGCAGCAGUAGGGAAUCUUCGGCAAUGGGGGCAACCCUGACCGAGCAACGCCGCGUGAGUGAAGAAGGUUUUCGGAUCGUAAAGCUCUGUUGUAAGAGAAGAACGAGUGUGAGAGUGGAAAGUUCACACUGUGACGGUAACUUACCAGAAAGGGACGGCUAACUACGUG
rnacentral:rRNA from 1 species